rnacentral:rRNA from 1 species
GAUGAACGCUGACAGAAUGCUUAACACAUGCAAGUCAACUUGAACUUCGGUUUGGGUGGCGGACGGGUGAGUAACGCGUAAAGAACUUGCCUCACAGCUAGGGACAACAUUUGGAAACGAAUGCUAAUACCUGAUAUUAUGAUUUUAGGGCAUCCUAGAAUUAUGAAAGCUAUAUGCGCUGUGAGAGAGCUUUGCGUCCCAUUAGCUAGUUGGAGAGGUAACGGCUCACCAAGGCGAUGAUGGGUAGCCGGCCUGAGAGGGUGAACGGCCACAAGGGGACUGAGACACGGCCCUUACUCCUACGGGAGGCAGCAGUGGGGAAUAUUGGACAAUGGACCAAGAGUCUGACCCAGCAAUUCUGUGUGCACGAUGAAGUUUUUCGGAAUGUAAAGUGCUUUCAGUUGGGAAGAAAAAAAUGACGGUACCAACAGAAGAAGUGACGGCUAAAUACGUG